AUGUGGACCUGUCUUCGUCAGCGCUAUGAGCCCUCUGGUGAUGCCUUAUACCUUUCUGUGGUUCGUCAGGAGCAUGCUCUUCAGCAGGGUGACUCUACUGUUGAUGACUUUUAUGCACAGAGUUCUGCUAUCUGGCGCCAGCUUGAUUCUCUCCGCAGUGCUGGUUGUCGUACUUGCCCCUGCUGCCAGGCUGUCCAGGCCAAUUUGGAGUUUCAUCGCGUCUACGAGUUCCUGUCUCGGCUCCGUAAGGAGUUUGAGCCCCGGCGUGCUCAGUUGUUUGCCCGUGGCCGUAUUUCUCUCAUGAAGGCGCUUUCAGAGAUUCGUGCUGAGGAGACUCGCUUACGUGGUGCUGGUUUACUGAUGCUUCCCGCACUGAGCACCCGCCCUCUACACAGUCAGGUACAUCUCCAUGGGUUCUGGACUCUGGAGCUUCUUUUCAUAUGUCUUCUCAUUCUUCCGCUUUGUCCUCUCUUCGAUCGCUGGAUUCUCCUGUUCAUGUCUUCACUGCUGAUGGUACUCCACUUUCUGUUGCUAGUAGAGGCCAUCUUUCCACUCCUUAUUCUGUUCCUGAUGUUGCUCAUGUUCCUUGACUUACCAUGA
rnacentral:rRNA from 1 species